GUACACGCUGUGACUAGCAUAUCAAUAAGCGGAGGAAAAGGAACUAACAAGGAUUCCCCUAGUAACGGCGAGUGAAGCGGGAAGAGCUCAAAUUUGAAAUCUUAAAGGGUUUCCCUUUACGAAUUGUAGUUUAAAGAAGUGUUUUCUGUUGAGGUUUUGGUAAAAGUUCUUUGGAAUAGGACAUCAUAGAGGGUGAGAAUCCCGUAUUUGACCUUUACUUUCAACUUUGUGAUACACUUUCAAAGAGUCGGAUUGUUUGGGAAUGCAGUCCAAAAUGGGUGGUAAAUUUCAUCUAAAGCUAAAUAUUGGCGAGAGACCGAUAGCGAACAAGUACCGUGAGGGAAAGAUGAAAAGAACUUUGAAAAGAGAGUUAAACAGUACGUGAAAUUGUCAAAAGGGAAGCGUUUGACACCAGUGUUGUUUUUCUGAAAAUCAAUUAAAGAACUGUUUAUGCUAGGCUGUUUAGACUUUAUCAGCUAUCUGUUUAGUUUUGAGCUUUUCUUUAAUGCACUUUUCAGUUAACAAGUCAACAUCAAUUUCUUUUGCUGUAAAAAAGCUUGAGGAAGGUGGCUUGAGAUUCGUCUUAAGUGUUUAUAGCCUCUUGCCUAUGCAGUCGGAGAGAUUGAGGUCUGCAGCGUAGAUCCUUCGGGGCUAAAUGCAUUUGUGCUAAGUUAUAGCAUUUUAUAGACAACUUGUUGACUAUGAUUUGUCUUGUAGCUUACUCGCUUAUGUUAUUUUACCUACGCUUAGGAUGUUGAAGAUGUAGCACAUCAU
rnacentral:rRNA from 1 species